GCCAAAAACCCUACCCUCCUUCUAUACUAUAUAUUAACGUCAUUCUCAUAUACCAUUUUCAUCCAGCAAUUACCUCUAUUCACAGCAAACGUCUCUUUCUUCUCCUUUUGACAAUGUCUCAUCUUUUGCUUUCCUUGAUAAUGUGAAGCCGUACAAAACGGGUUGGUAAGUGCAAGUCAGUGUCUUGCAUACAUGGAAAAAAUUUACGACCAAUCCAAGUGAUAGUCUUUCGUACCUAGAAGACAUACACCACAAAAUUUGGUGAAACCUUCGACAUGUAAGCUUUUUAAAUAAAUCCUUCAAAAGCAAUUGUUUGUAUAACAUUGAUUUGUAUCAUUUUUAAAAUGAAAAUAUUUAUUUUUGUAAUUUGGCGGGGAACAAAAGAAACCAUCAAAGGGAUCUUUGAGAUGAUUGAGGUAAAGUUAUUCCGAUCCUAAACCAAUGAUAAUAUUGAAUCAAACGUCAUCAAAAAAAUUAAAUCUAUUUUCUGUUUAUUGGACUAUUUCAAGUUAUUUAACUAAUUCAAGAAUAUGUAUUAAUUGAAUUUCAUAUUAAAGCUACUAUAACUUAUUACUAACCUUUAUAUCUAAAAGAAAACAGAUUUUACAUGGAAUCAAAGAGGAAAAAGGUUCUCAAAGAAGGCAAAGAACAAUCAAGAGAUUCACAUUUGAAACUUCUCUUUCCUUUUCUAAAAGGUCCAACAUGCGAUGAAGAUUUAAGGACUUACAAAGGUGUUGUCUACGAGACAUACAAGGAUGCAUGUUUGCCGAGAUGUUUAUUAGACGAAUGAUAACAUGAGAAAAGUUGUAUUAAAAUAUAGCUUCGUCGACAACUAACCUUAUUGUUCUUGGUCCAAAAGGCAUUUGAUGUAUGAAUAUAAAGAGCGUACUAUCUGCUUCAUAUCGAAC
rnacentral:lncRNA from 1 species